GACGAACGCUGGCGGCGUGCUUAACACAUGCAAGUCGAACGGAAAGGCCCUGCUUUUGUUGUGUUCUCGUGUGGCGAACGGGUGAGUAACACGUGAGUAACCUGCACUUGUCUUUGUGAUAUCUCCUGGAAAAUGGGGCUAUUAUCGGAUAUGAUCUCCUGCUGCGCGUUGGUGGUUGGUGAGUUUCGGCUUUUGGGGAUAGUCUAGAAGGUUAUGAGCUUCUUGGUGGGGUAGUGGCUUACCAAGGCUUUGACGGGUAGACGGCCUGGGAGCGGGACCGGGCUCAAUAGGACUGAGAGACGCCGCAGUAUCCAAUCGUACGCAGCAGUGGAGAACAUGGCGCAAUGGGCGCACGUCUGAUGCAGCAGCGCCGCGUGCGUAAAGACCUGCUUCGGGUUGUAAACAGCUUUCGCCUGUGACGAAGCGUGAGUGACGGUAAUGGGUAAAGAAGCACCGGCUAACUACGUG
rnacentral:rRNA from 1 species